rnacentral:lncRNA from 13 species
UGUACAUUAACCUUGGCUAUGCAGCCCUGCAAAGGGGAGUUGCUCCCGCCUCUACAUUUCCCACCCCGCGUCUCUGCCCUAGUGGUCUCCCCCUCACAGCUGGCGACCCUAGAGGCUAUUUAUUCCUUGAAGGGAAACUGAGGGAGGCCGGAAGUGACUGAGAUCCCACACCGAGAAAAAAAGCAGCAGACACUUACGCACCUGAAGCGAUUCCCGCCUCUCUCCGGAGGGUUCAGGGCGCAGGAAGCUGAGAUACAGGGGAGCGUUUUCAUGGCUUCGGACCUCAAUCUGAAUUCACUCCCAUGCCAAGCGCGGGCUCAAGGGCUCACGCCGCCACCUGCUGGACGCGCCAGUCUCGGGCUGAAUCCAGCUGGGACUAAGGGGAGAUACCAGGCCUCUCAGUCUGCGCACCACAGUGCGGCGAAGCCCGGGCCUACCCGCGAACAGAACACAGACCCGAAUCCCAGUCGCCUCUCGCAUUCCAGAAGCGUCUGCAGGCCCCAGACGACAGAGAGAAUGUUGCCAGGUGGGGGUUCUUGCUAUGUUGCCCAAGUUCAUCUGGAACUCCUGGCCUCAAGCAAUUCUUCAGUCUUAGCCUCCCAAAGCUCUAGGAAUACAGGUAGGAAUUGCUGCACCUGGUCUGAUUCUUAAUAAUUAUUAGCUUCCAAUCAAGGUAAAGUCCUUCACAAAUUGAGAAUCUUCAAGCUUUAAACAACUUGUCUUACAUCUUAGUCUAAAAAUAGCAGUAGUAAUAAUAAUACUUAUAACAACCAAGCUAAUAUUUAUUAUAAUUAUCUGUAAAAGAUUAUAAGAGAUUUAUUUAAAUUAACUUAUUAAUCUUCAUUACAAAAUUAAGGUAAGUACUAUUAUCACUACUAUGUUUACAAUGAGAAAACUGAGACACAGAUUGGUUAAAGUACUUGCUCAAGAGUAAUUGGCACAGCCAGGACUGGAACCCAGGCAGCCUGGGCCCAGAAUAUAUAGUUUGGCCCUGUUUAUAGC